rnacentral:rRNA from 1 species
GAACGGGUGAGUAACACGUGGGUGAUCUGCCCUGCACUUUGGGAUAAGCCUGGGAAGCUGGGUCUAAUACCGAAUAGGACCACGCGCUUCAUGGUGUGUGGUGGAAAGCUUUUGCGGUGUGGGAUGGGCCCGCGGCCUAUCAGCUUGUUGGUGGGGUAAUGGCCUACCAAGGCGACGACGGGUAGCCGGCCUGAGAGGGUGACCGGCCACACUGGGACUGAGAUACGGCCCAGACUCCUACGGGAGGCAGCAGUGGGGAAUAUUGCACAAUGGGCGCAAGCCUGAUGCAGCGACGCCGCGUGAGGGAUGACGGCCUUCGGGUUGUAAACCUCUUUCAAUAGGGACGAAGCGCAAGUGACGGUACCUAUAGAAGAAGCACCGGCCAACUACGUGCCAGCAGCCGCGGUAAUACGUAGGGUGCGAGCGUUGUCCGGAAUUACUGGGCGUAAAGAGCUCGUAGGUGGUUUGUCGCGUUGUUCGUGAAAACUCACAGCUUAACUGUGGGCGUGCGGGCGAUACGGGCAGACUAGAGUACUGCAGGGGAGACUGGAAUUCCUGGUGUAGCGGUGGAAUGCGCAGAUAUCAGGAGGAACACCGGUGGCGAAGGCGGGUCUCUGGGCAGUAACUGACGCUGAGGAGCGAAAGCGUGGGGAGCGAACAGGAUUAGAUACCCUGGUAGUCCACGCCGUAAACGGUGGGUACUAGGUGUGGGUUCCUUCCUUGGGAUCCGUGCCGUAGCUAACGCAUUAAGUACCCCGCCUGGNGAGUACGGCCGCAAGGCUAAAACUCAAAGGAAUUGACGGGGGCCCGCACAAGCGGCGGAGCAUGUGGAUUAAUUCGAUGNCACGCGAAAGACCUUACCUGGGUUU